GCGGUGGAGCAUGUGGUUUAAUUCGAAGCAACGCGAAGAACCUUACCAGGCCUUGACAUGCAGAGAACUUUCCAGAGAUGGAUUGGUGCCUUCGGGAACUCUGACACAGGUGCUGCAUGGCUGUCGUCAGCUCGUGUCGUGAGAUGUUGGGUUAAGUCCCGUAACGAGCGCAACCCUUGCCUUUAGUUGCCAGCAGUUCGGCUGGGCACUCUAAAGGGACUGCCGGUGUUAAACCGGAGGAAGGUGGGGAUGACGUCAAGUCCUCAUGGCCUUUAUGACCAGGGCUACACACGUACUACAAUGGCCGAUACAAAGGGCAGCGACACUGCGAGGUGAAGCCAAUCCCGUAAAAUCGGUCUCAGUCCGGAUUGGAGUCUGCAACUCGACUCCAUGAAGUUGGAAUCGCUAGUAAUCGUGGAUCAGCAUGCCACGGUGAAUACGUUCCCGGGCCUU
rnacentral:rRNA from 1 species